UUUCUGUAAAAUUAGAUGGAGAAAACACAACUGAUUCGGUUUAUCUUUCUGUAAGAACAACAGCUUGUGGUUGUCAAGCAGACAUCGAAUCUGGACUUUUCUUGUUUUUCUUUCCAAGAGAGCAACGCUAUCUCCUAUCAUCGGAUUUGUUGAGAAAGAACGUACUGGCUUCGGGAAAAGUACCAACUGUCACCAAUGAUUGGGAUGUUAUUAAACUACAAGCUAAGGGAGAUCAUGUAUGGGGAGCAGUUAAUAAUAAUAUGCUGUUCAACAUAAGUAUUCCAAUAUCUAUCUCUCAUGGCUGGGUGGCUGUGGGAACAUAUCCCUUUGGAACGGCCUACUUUGAUGAUUUGCAUAUUAAU